ACGGGUGAGUAACGCGUAGGUAACCUGCCUGGUAGCGGGGGAUAACUAUUGGAAACGAUAGCUAAUACCGCAUAACAGUAGAUAUUGCAUGAUAUCUGCUUGAAAGGGGCAAUUGCUCCACUACCAGAUGGACCUGCGUUGUAUUAGCUAGUUGGUGAGGUAACGGCUCACCAAGGCGACGAUACAUAGCCGACCUGAGAGGGUGAUCGGCCACACUGGGACUGAGACACGGCCCAGACUCCUACGGGAGGCAGCAGUGGGGAAUAUUGCGCAAUGGGGGCAACCCUGACGCAGCCAUGCCGCGUGAAUGAAGAAGGCCUUCGGGUUGUAAAGUUCUUUCGGUAGCGAGGAAGGCAUUUAGUUUAAUAGACUAGGUGAUUGACGUUAACUACAGAAGAAGCACCGGCUAACUCCGUGCCAGCAGCCGCGGUAAUACGGAGGGUGCGAGCGUUAAUCGGAAUAACUGGGCGUAAAGGGCACGCAGGCGGUGACUUAAGUGAGGUGUGAAAGCCCCGGGCUUAACCUGGGAAUUGCAUUUCAUACUGGGUCGCUAGAGUACUUUAGGGAGGGGUAGAAUUCCACGUGUAGCGGUGAAAUGCGUAGAGAUGUGGAGGAAUACCGAAGGCGAAGGCAGCCCCUUGGGAAUGUACUGACGCCCAUGUGCGAAAGCGUGGGGAGCAAACAGGAUUAAAUACCCU
rnacentral:rRNA from 1 species